rnacentral:lncRNA from 1 species
AAUUUUAAUUUAUUAUAAUUUUUUAUUUAAAUUUUUUAAAUUAUUGCAAUUAAAUUAUUAUAAUUCAAUUAGUUUGGCUAAAUAUUACUAAAUUAUUGAUAUAGAAAUAAAUCAAAUAAUAUGAAAGUAUUGUGAUUGAUGAUACGAUAAAAAUUAAGAUGCUAUAUCAUUUUUAUGUAAAAAAUUGGGAAAACUUCAAAAACCCCCAGUGGUUUCUCUCUUUCUCACUUUGGUACCCUGUAGUUUAAAAUGUAUUAAUUUGGUGCCCUGUGGUUUCAUUUUUAUCUUUUCGACAGCUUUUUCGUUAAUAUUUCGUUAAAUUAUGUACAAAAAACUUCAGAUACCCACCUAGGUUUAUCGAAUAUUUAUUUUAGUACUCUUUAAUUUUAACUUUGUCACUGAUUUAAGAAAAAAAAAUAGUAAAAUUAAUAAUAAAAAGAGAAAAAUAAAACCACAGGCACUAAAUUGAUACAUUUUAAACCACAGGACACUAAAGUGAGAAAGUGCGAAACCACGGGAGGUUUUUGGAGUUUUUCCUAAAAAAUUAAUCAACUUAGCAAACUAAAUUAGAUUGUGGAACUUUUUACAAUUAUUUAGAGGGCUUAAGUUAGAUAUUAUAUAUUAUAAAUUAAAGUUUUGAAAACUAAAAUGUUAU